rnacentral:rRNA from 1 species
AUGCACGCUGGCGGCGUGCCUAAUACAUGCCAGUCGAGCGAACGGACGAGAGGCUUGCUUCUCUGAUGUUAGCGGCGGACGGGUGAGUAACACGUGGAUAACCUACCUAUAAGACUGGGAUAACUUCGGGAAACCGGAGCUAAUACCGGAUAAUAUUUUGAACCGCAUGGUUCAAAAGUGAAAGACGGUCUUGCUGUCACUUAUAGAUGGAUCCGCGCUGCAUUAGCUAGUUGGUAAGGUAACGGCUUACCAAGGCAACGAUGCAUAGCCGACCUGAGAGGGUGAUCGGCCACACUGGAACUGAGACACGGUCCAGACUCCUACGGGAGGCAGCAGUAGGGAAUCUUCCGCAAUGGGCGAAAGCCUGACGGAGCAACGCCGCGUGAGUGAUGAAGGUCUUCGGAUCGUAAAACUCUGUUAUUAGGGAAGAACAUAUGUGUAAGUAACUGUGCACAUCUUGACGGUACCUAAUCAGAAAGCCACGGCUAACUACGUG